AAGUUUGCAAUAUCGUCUCGUCGUUGCGAUAUGUCGUAAAAGAGUAUAAUGUCGUAAAAACGUCGAUAGUUAAUGUAAACGAAGGAAGAACGAGGUGACCGAGUUGUCAUACGUCGAUACGAUAAACUCGUUUUAUUCCAUAGUAAUCGUCGCUUAAGAAUUCCACGUGGCCUUUUAUCUAACGCACAAUUCUCACCUUUCACUCGACAAACGAUCUAUAGGAGGACGUAAAAGGAACGGCAUUAGAUCGUUGCCACGUCAAUUAAGGUUUAUCACGUUCGACAGGCAUCGUUGUCAUUUUAAAAGAAAGUUACGAUUUACUAAGUUUCUUGAAAUAAAAAGAAUAUUGUGUGGUCAGAAGCAGAAACCGUUCAUGCGGUAGAACGCAGACAUUAUCGUGGAGUUUACUGGUCAGGGUAGCUUAACUCGGCCAGCUUGCUUCUUUAAUUUUGAGUAUGCCGACGAACGGGUAGGUACCCAUUAACGACCAUUUCGAGGUAUCUCUUGGAAAGUACAAGAGGAAAGGGACGGUGGCCGUGCUUGUUUUCGUGAGCUGACUUUGACUUGGAAUUGUACCAAGAGGCUACACGUGCCACCGAGUAAGCAUCAUACGAUUAUAGUAACUUGAAACAUCUUGCAAAGAAUUUCCGAGAGCACGAUGGGCAAAUCUUAUGAAAAAAGGCGGUCUUUAGUUUGCAACCGAGUGAUGCAAUCGAAAGGAAAACGACGAACGUAAUUUAAUUUUUAUUUUUGCCAAAUAUUGAUAGAUUUAACUAUAUAACUUUGAAAUUUUCAAGUUGGAUCUUAGUUAAAAUCCCUAUAGUUCAUUCUCGAAUCUCAUGUUCGUUCGGAACGCUUUUCACAGGCACAACGUGAUUAGGCGAUCGUUUUAAUCGACGAUAACGUAAACAUUUAGAACAUGCUUACAAGUGAGAUCCUUCUAAUCUAUUUCUAUUUACGUGCACGCGUAUGGAGUUUGAAUGUCAAUCAUUUUCAUUUAAACGUACUAUCUCUACAAAGUUUGUUUCCGAAAUCGUUUGAAGUACGAGACCAUUGACGGAGUAGAUGCGUUAAAUCAAUGACUGUCUCUGCCGUUCAAGUAGAUCUUACGCAAUUUUUGAAAAUUAUGACAAGAUCGGUAAAUAAUUUAUUUUGAUUUGAAAGUCUUGAAAUUUAUAAACGGAAUAUAAGUAUUUAGCCAAAUGUUCCGGUAAAUCAGCUACGUAUAUUUUAGAUUUAAUUAGAGCUUCUCACGAACCUGGGUGAUCCCAUGCAUCAUCGUAUUUUGGUAUCGCGGAAGUAUAUUCCUCAUUUUGUCAUAAACGUCAGAUUAGAGUAGCUAACAUCUGUUAACACUGCCAUCGAGAUAGUUCGAUUAAACGUCGAUGGGAAUAGAAUAAAAAAAUAAAAAAAUUCAUUAUUUAUGACUCAGUCUACGAUCGCGUAGGUCUAGAACGAUUUGAUAAAUAUAAAUUUCACUUGGAUUCUCGAAUAGUAACAAUAUACUUAUUCUCGAAAAAUCAUUUCGAGUUAUCGAAACGGAGUCUCUCCUCGAAAUAUCUAUUGAAAGUUUACGGGUUUCUGGAAAAGGCUUUAACGAUCGUCCAACGUUAACCCAGUUACUCCGGUAUAUCUGCGAGGGCGAUUUGCGAUAUAGCCAACGAGGAACACCAUAAAUCAGCGUAUUUCGGUAUCGCGGAAGCCAAGCCACUGGUAUUUAUAUAACUCGACGUUCGUGCUGCGCGUCUUGAGGAGAGAGAUGCAUCAUUCUCCUCUCUCUUUUUCUCUUUCUCUCUCUUUCGAGGAGAGACUCUCUUUGUCGAUUUCUCGCCUAGCUAAUGUGAGAUCUUUGUAGCUCAUUGGUGUCUUGUACACGGCCACGAAAAGGCUGCACGCGCUCGAAUUUGAUACCUAGCCAAGUGUGGUGUCCGAACUCUAUGGACUGACUAACUCGAAACUCGACUAAUAAAUUGAUUCGCAUGAGAUGAGAACAAGGAUGACGAGUAGGUCGUUUCUUGGAUUUUUUUCUUUUCUCUUUACUUUCUUUUUUGUUUAUAUUAUUACGGACAGAUGGUGGAACACGAUAAUUGCGGACAGGAAUUGGAGCGUUUCGUCUCGUCGCGAGUAAAAGCGAAAGAACAAGAUCAGUUUGUCUGUUUUUUAAAGGAUCGGACCGAUCUUGAUGACGUUUCGGAUAUUCGAUUUUCGUUUCGUUCAUUAGUCACGAAAAUUUCGAUUUGCACGCUACAACAAGAUAAAGAUCGUUCAGAAAUUUAUGGCGAUCAUGUACGUACGUGUACUCAGUGAAUUUGUGAUGUAACUAGAAAUCGCCAUUGCGUUUCGUUUUAUCGGUAAGGAGCUUUGAAAAGUACAACAUAUCCUAUUAAAUUUAUCGCCUUCUUUCUCGUAGUAACACCAGUGACCCCCAGCGAUCCCGUAUCCGUACAUUUAUCACAAUCAGUACUCUUGAUUGGUCGACCAUUUGCACGUGGGCGUAUCGAAGAGAAACGGGGAUAUCGUGCGAUCUUUGUCGAGAUAAAGAAAUCGCAUGGAAAGUACACGCCUUCCGCUUUGCAUCUAAUUAAUGCCUUUCUACGGUCAGGAAGAAUUCGAAACGUUUUUCUUUAGC